rnacentral:rRNA from 1 species
GACGAACGCUGGCGGCGUGCCUAAUACAUGCGAGUCGAACGCUGAAGAGAGGAGCUUGCUCUUCUUGGAUGAGUUGCGAACGGGUGAGUAACGCGUAGGUAACCUGCCUUGUAGCGGGGGAUAACUAUUGGAAACGAUAGCUAAUACCGCAUAACAAUGGAUGACACAUGUCAUUUAUUUGAAAGGGGCAAUUGCUCCACUACAAGAUGGACCUGCGUUGUAUUAGCUAGUAGGUGAGGUAAUGGCUCACCUAGGCGACGAUACAUAGCCGACCUGAGAGGGUGAUCGGCCACACUGGGACUGAGACACGGCCCAGACUCCUACGGGAGGCAGCAGUAGGGAAUCUUCGGCAAUGGGGGCAACCCUGACCGAGCAACGCCGCGUGAGUGAAGAAGGGUUUCGGAUCGUAAAGCUCUGUUGUAAGUCAAGAACGGGUGUGAGAGUGGAAAGUUCACACUGUGACGGUAGCUUACCAGAAAGGGACGGCUAACUACGUG